rnacentral:rRNA from 1 species
AGAGUUUGAUCAUGGCUCAGGAUGAACGCUAGCGGCAGGCUUAACACAUGCAAGUCGAGGGGUAUAGUUCUUCGGAGCUAGAGACCGGCGCACGGGUGCGUAACGCGUAUGCAAUCUACCUUUUGCAGAGGGAUAGCCCAGAGAAAUUUGGAUUAAUACCUCAUAGUAUAUAGAGUUGGCAUCAACAUUAUAUUAAAGUCACAACGGCAAAAGAUGAGCAUGCGUCCCAUUAGCUAGUUGGUAAGGUAACGGCUUACCAAGGCAACGAUGGGUAGGGGUCCUGAGAGGGAGAUCCCCCACACUGGUACUGAGACACGGACCAGACUCCUACGGGAGGCAGCAGUGAGGAAUAUUGGACAAUGGGCGCAAGCCUGAUCCAGCCAUGCCGCGUGCAGGAUGACGGUCCUAUGGAUUGUAAACUGCUUUUAUACGAGAAGAAACAUCCCGACGUGUCGGGACUUGACGGUAUCGUAAGAAUAAGGAUCGGCUAACUCCGUGCCAGCAGCCGCGGUAAUACGGAGNAUCCAAGCGUUAUCCGGAAUCCUUGGGUUUAAAGGGUCC